GCACGCCGCGUGCACGUCGCGCCAUUUGCGGGAGAUCGUGCGAGAGCCACACCCAUUGGUCACCGCCCCGCACAAACCCUACCCUUUCCAGCUCUCCCAGAUCGAUGCAGCCGCCUCCCUUCUCCCUCUCUUCCUCCCCCCAACGCGCCGGCCGCCGCCACCUGCCAUACCGCGUCCCCGCUGCCGCCAUGGCCUCUUCAAGAGGCACGCCCCUCCAUGGUGCGAAGCAGGAGACCAGGAUCCAGAUGAGGAAGAGGAGAUCCGGGCGCCCCAACGGUGGAUCGAUCGAUGCGAGGUGACGACGAGCUCCUCCGGACGUGGGGGAGCAGCGAGGCUGGAGAUCCAGUCGGCGCAUGCCCCACGGGGUCGGGGAGACGCCGGCAACAGGGGCAAGGGGCAUCAGGGUCGAAGCUGCAGCGCUCCGGUCCCCAAGCCGCCUCCAGGCUCGCUUCCUCCUCCAUCCUCCCGCAUCUCACCCAUCUCGACGGAUACGAGGCGUGCGGGCACGGAGGCGAGGUUCUCCGGCGGCAGCGGGAACCUCCAGGCAGAGAGCGACCCCAUCGAUCCGUCCCUGCAGGAGAGAAGGAAGGAGAGGAGACAGGCCAUGGAGAUGGGAUGAGAACGUCCAUGGCCAGCCAAUCGAGCCCCACCUCCGGUGCGCGACCCCAGGAAGGAUUUUGCGCUGCCAUCUUCUUUCGCCGGUCCGUGCCCUGGAAGAGCGACACCAGCCAGGAAGUAAUGGAGACGACAUGUCACCCGUUUCAAGCCGUCGGUCGCCCCGCACCACCAAUCCAACACGCUCGACGACGUGCUGCCGCUCGAGGCGGUCUCCAACAUCUCGCUGCUGGCUUCAUCGGAGAAGCCCAACGUCCUUCAGCGAGGCUUCACAACUGGUUACAUUGAGCAAGUCCUUCCAGGGGCUAUUGGCAGUUCCCACUUCUCCUCUGUGGGAAGGAUAUCGAACCAGUCUGGGGCCGCAAGGAGUUCUUGAAGUUAAUUAUCUUGAUCAAGUCCAUAUAUGACAUCGUUCCUUUUGACAGUCUUUUAGUGGAUGGAUGCCAUCCAUAAUAAGGAUCGGUGGAAACCAUACAGAUAAACAAGCUAACAUUUGAAGGUGUGAAUUUAUGCGACCAUUGCUAGGUUCCUACCGUUAAUCAAGACAACAGAACACCUGGCACUGAACCAACAAAAACAAUGGUGAUAUUCUUAUCAUGUGACUUGUUGAAGCCACAAGAAUAAACCGAAGCUCAUUUUGUAGGUAUACUUUGGGCAAAAUUUGGUCUGCAAAGAUACUGUUUCGGCAAAGGGCAAAGGGAAAAUCGUCAAGGUCGAUGACCCAGUUUUUGUUCCAUGGGAUCCCUUUUUUCUAAUGAAGCUCCUACCUGAAGAAGGGCAUGGUAGUAGAUAGUGUAUCUGUUUUAUGUGUGUUAGAAGAGACGACCGGCUGGUUGAUUUUGUGUGCACAUUCUGUAGAUUGUACUUACCAAUAAAGCUUCGACAGGUGUGUUCAUUGUGCUCUUCACUUCAAACAAUAUAUCAUCUCUGGUUCUUUAAUCUGAUUAUUUAGUGUAUUGUAGACUUGUUUGUCCGUGAUCUAAAACUCAUACCCAUAAGAAAGGGAUUCCAGUGUACUGCCUAUGUUUUUAGUGUUCUUAGCUUAAUUCCAGUGUACUUCCUAUGUUUUUAUAGUAGUCUCAUUUGUGUUUUCGGAAAGUAGGAUUCAUAUGGCUGACAUUGAUCAUUCACAUGUUUUAUCUCUUGGCUUUUCAAUUUUAAUGUGUCAUUCCUUGCAUCCAGUUAUAAUUGUAAAAGUAUACUUACUCCUGGUUGACGUGGAUUAUAACUUUAGGCCUUCAUUUACAAACAAUUACUGGUCUGAAUUAGGAUUUUGCGCCAUGUAUGUUUUUCUGCUUCACUUAGUCCACCACUCACACAUCACACAAACAGCGAUAGUGAGAGGGAAGGAGAGGGAGUGGGAGGGAGGGAGGGAGAGGGAGAGAGAAACUCGAAAGACAGCCCUGGCUACAACAGAAACGGAGUGAAAGCAAAGAAACUCGAGAAGCACACAACCUUCAUCUGUCAUGUUCAUUCUGUGGGGAUUUUUUCGGUAAUUUUGUUGCUUCAGUAUGUAGGUGCUACUGUCAAUUUGGGAUAUAUACCAGGUCAGGUUUGCUAGCUUGAUUUUUUCAUUUAGGGCUCUCCUCUUCAACUGCAUCUUUUGUGCAGCUCCAAAAGUUGCAGCUCCAAAAUUCUACGUUUCAAAACACUUAUUUCCAUAUUCUGUUUAUUAUUUUUCAGUUACGUAAACUCUAUUCAGUGUGCUUGAUAACCCCACUUUCAAAUUUUGUGGUUUUUAGCAAUACCAAACUUUGUUAUCUUCACAAAGAGCGCAGUUCGUAAGGCAUGAAACGCGAUAUUUUCUUAUGGUAGGUGUACAUUUUGACUAUGACAGUGACCUCUUUUAUUUGUCUAUGCACCAAACUACGGCUACCAAAGGAAGGUUUUGCAAGCACAUCCUUGGAUGUUCCCUUUUAAUAAAGAAAUAAUAUCAUCAGUUUGGUAUGAUAGAAGAUUUGCCGCAUUCAGUCUUCAAUGUCUGUUAAUUUAGCCUUGACACACCUGGUACUUCACUUUUACUAAUAUCUAGCUAGAAUACUACUGUCUUUCCUUCUUGCUUCCAAUAACUUGGUAGUUAUGCUUCCUGCACCAUGUAGGUGUUGCAGUGAAAAACUGAAGAAGUUGUGACGGCGACUAAAGGACUAAAAGAUUUGCUUGAAGCAAAGAUGUUUGGCUGGGAUAUAUAUGUACUGCACCUGGUUAUCUACAGAGGAAGGCAAGGAUAACUAGAUUAAACAUUUCACAAGACCCUCCCAAUUACAGGCACAAACUCCUUUCAAGAUAUUACAAGUGUGGUUGAUUACGGGAGAUUGUCAGAUGAAAAGAUGAAAAGAAGGUAUAUCCUUUAUAUUUAUCUAGAUGUUUAAUUAGCUGCACAACCAUACGUGGUUCUAUAAGGAAACUAUUUAUCCUGAUGAUCUUGAUAUCCAGUCAUGUAUUACAGUAUUAGUAUAGGCUGUAAUUUUUGGCUAGGAAUCUAUAUAUACAGUUAUGUAUGAAUGGGCUAUGAUUCUUUUUUCCUUCUGAAUAGAUUCUUUUUUUUGUUCACUCCUUGUGAAAUAAUUUCAGAGCUACUGUGUUGUAGUAAUUAUUUGGCACAUCCAUAACUCAACCAGUUUAUGUGUGAUGAUUUAGUGCGUAUUUGGUUCCAAAGUGAACAAACUAUUGGCCUUCGCUAGGCAAGGAUAGGUGUUUGGUACAAAAGAAAAAUUAACUUUGUCAAGCUAACUAGCACACAUGGUCUGAAGCAGCUACUUUUUAUAUCCCUGGACUAUAGAUAUUACAUGCAUUAGUACUUGAUGCAUCUUUGAUAUGCUUUUGCUAUAAACGGAUCAUCCGUCGUCCAAACAAAUCAGGUGUUAUCCAUCUAAGUUUGAUUUAUUAGCGCAUGUUUUUUUUGUCAAAGAACAAGUUUAUCUUUGCCUUGGUCUGCAAUAUUGUUUAUGCAGGGCAAUUAUUUAUGACAAAAAGUGAUAUUAUACCGCGAAGAUGGAGGCACGCCAACAUCUUUUGGCACAGGUGGUCGUCGUUACUCAACGGACUCCCGUGCCGGCUUACAAUGUCGUGGCCGUCUCUCGCGGCCGCACCGGUUUGCAACGCCGCGGUCGACUCUCCCGUCCACACUGGUUUAAAACGCCGUGGCUGACAGAUUUGUCAGCACCUGCGGCUGACUCGGCCGUGAUUGAUUCCGGUUUCACCAUGGUGAUCAUCAACUCCGCGGUCAUAACUGCAGACCUGAUGCAUCAGGUGAAAUCCAUCCAGUAUAUUUUUAUAUUAUAUAUUGCUUUUUUCUUAAAAAGAGCAAUUGCGUUGGCUUGCAAGUUCUUCAAUGCAGGACAAGUUAUAUCACUGAGCUGUUGAAUGACUGUAGCGACCCGUUUCGAAUGGAUCAAGUCUCUGUGCUUAAGUGUCAUCCCUCGAUCGGUAUGCUGACAUACACAGUAUUCGAGGAUUUAUAACAGAGUUGAGAUCGAGGAGAGAGCAAGCCGUUGCAGAGGAGAGGGGAUACGAGGGUGGGCGGAGGUCAGGCAUUGCUAACAGAUUUGCGGCGGAAUGGGAGAGGUGACGCCGGCCGGCCGGCGCCUCACACCGGCUCCUGUUUGGCAGUGGCAAAGAGAAGGGUGCCGAGGAUGUGUUGCUCUAUGCAUGGCUGUUGAAGUACAUCAUCGUUAUGAUGUGUAUGGUUUCUCUAUUUUCAGCCCUACUGCUCCAGAGCCCAAAUCCCAUGACCAUGCCGCCACCUCUCCUUCGUUGAAUGAAGGGAUUCUGGUUGCUAAAAACAGAUUUUCUAUAGCAAUAGCCAAAUAGUGUGACAUAACACUAUCCAUUUUCACAGGCCAUAACACAUCUUUACAUGUAAGUUUGUUCUCUAGAUAGUUCUCUUUCCAAGAUUUUCAUAUCAUAUUUGUCGUCGGAUCUGACUGCUUUACCAUAUUUUCCUGGUGUGGACGAUGUUAUAGUGAGCUACCAUCACUUCUCAUUACUGACUGUAAUCAAUAUAUAUGUGUUUAUGCCAUAAAAGAUGGAUAUUUGUCGAAGCCAUUGUCGUGUCAUGUAAUUACUUGCAGAUCAACUAUAUAGUUUUGUUUGGAUUGUAAAGUGGAAACGAUAAAACCCUACAACUCAUGUGUGAUUGUCAUUUGAUUAUUUACUUCCUCAAGUAGUAUGGAUAUGGUGCUGCCAGGAUAUUAAGUAUAUUCAUGAAGUUGUAUAAACCACGUUCUGUUAUGCAUAUUUACUUUCCAGUUUUAGGAC